rnacentral:rRNA from 1 species
UACGUAGGGUGCGAGCGUUGUCCGGAAUUAUUGGGCGUAAAAGAGCUCGUAGGCGGCCUGUCGCGUCGGAUGUGAAAGCCCGGGGCUUAACCCCCGGGUCUGCAUUCGAUACGGGCAGGCUAGAGUGUGGUAGGGGAGAUCGGAAUUCCUGGUGUAGCGGUGAAAUGCGCAGAUAUCAGGAGGAACACCGGUGGCGAAGGCGGAUCUCUGGGCCAUUACUGACGCUGAGGAGCGAAAGCGUGGGGAGCGAACAGG